UACGUAGGUGGCGAGCGUUGUCCGGAUUUACUGGGCGUAAAGAGCGCGCAGGCGGUCGUUCAAGUCGCGUGUGAAAGCCCCCGGCUCAACUGGGGAGGGUCACGCGAUACUGAUCGACUCGAAGGCAGGAGAGGGAAGUGGAAUUCCCGGUGUAGUGGUGAAAUGCGUAGAUAUCGUGAGGAAGACCAGUGGCGAAGGCGGGUCUCUGGACAGUUCCUGACACUGAGGCACGAAGGCCAGGGGAGCAAACGGG
rnacentral:rRNA from 1 species